rnacentral:rRNA from 1 species
GAUGAACGCUGGCGGCGUGCCUAAUACAUGCAAGUCGAGCGAACAGACGAGGAGCUUGCUCCUCUGACGUUAGCGGCGGACGGGUGAGUAACACGUGGAUAACCUACCUAUAAGACUGGGAUAACUUCGGGAAACCGGAGCUAAUACCGGAUAAUAUAUUGAACCGCAUGGUUCAAUAGUGAAAGACGGUUUUGCUGUCACUUAUAGAUGGAUCCGCGCCGGAUUAGGUAGUUGGUAAGGUAACGGCUUACCAAGGCAACGAUGCGGAGCCGACCGGAGAGGGUGAUCGGCCACACUGGAACUGAGACACGGUCCAGACUCCUACGGGAGGCAGCAGUAGGGAAUCUUCCGCAAUGGGCGAAAGCCUGACGGAGCAACGCCGCGUGAGUGAUGAAGGUCUUCGGAUCGUAAAACUCUGUUAUUAGGGAAGAACAAAUGUGUAAGUAACUAUGCACGUCUUGACGGUACCUAAUCAGAAAGCCACGGCUAACUACGUGCCAGCCGCCGCAGUAACAC